GACGAACGCUGGCGGCGUGCUUAACACAUGCAAGUCGAACGGAAAGGCCCUGCUUUUGUGGGGUGCUCGAGUGGCGAACGGGGGAGUAACACGUGAGUAACCUGCCCUUGACUUUGGGAUAACUUCAGGAAACUGGGGCUAAUACCGGAUAGGAGCUCCUGCUGCAUGGUGGGGGUUGGAAAGUUUCGGCGGUUGGGGAUGGACUCGCGGCUUAUCAGCUUGUUGGUGGGGUAGUGGCUUACCAAGGCGUUGACGGGUAGCCGGCCUGAGAGGGUGACCGGCCACAUUGGGACUGAGAUACGGCCAAGACUCCUACGGGAGGCAGCAGUGGGGAAUAUUGCACAAUGGGCGGAAGCCUGAUGCAGCAACGCCGCGUGCGGGAUGACGGCCUUCGGGUUGUAAACCGCUUUCGCCUGUGACGAAGCGUGAGUGACGGUAAUGGGUAAAGAAGCACCGGCUAACUACGUG
rnacentral:rRNA from 1 species